CAGGGCCGGCACUGGCUGCUUGGAGGCCGCUUCCUCGGGUUUCCCACGCUGUCCUUUCCUAGCUGACCCUCCCAGGGAGGCUUUCCUUUCCUGUGAGGCUGGCAGAGGAGUGGCACAGAGGACUUUUCAUACAAGCUCAGUUGACCUGGGGUAAAAAUGUCCUUGUCACCGUGUUCAAGGGUCAGGUGGAGGCAAGAUAAAGGAACAGCUAGUGUGUUCUGCUAUCAGUCUGUAAACAUUUCUUGUCGGCCUCUCUUACUAAUAUUCUGAUGGCAUCGUUGUACCCAGAAAUGACAUUCGCCCACAUACCAGGAAGAUGCUCAGAGUUGGAAAGUUGUGUGCCAUCAUUUGUCUCCGGCAUUAAAUCUGCUUGCUUUGAAUUUUAACAUAAAUUUAGCCCAAAUGUUUGGAAAGAGAGAGAUGUUUGAGAAAAGAUCGCGUCUUCUUCAGAAGGAAUAAUGAGUACACCCCACCCACCUCCAACAUACAUACUGUUCAUGAAGCCUGACAGCAGGCAUCAUUCCAGCUUUUUAUCACAAAAGGAACAUCUGGCCUAAAUAGGUGGCAAAGUUAGAUAAUGCUCCUGUCUAGUACCUGUUUGUCAGGGUUAUAAAUAUGCCCUUGCUUACCUAGCGGCAUCACCCAAAAUCGUGUCACUCCCUGCCUAAGAGGUUGGACUCCUGGAAGUUUGGAUUGCAUCAUUGUGUCAACCAGAGGAUAUUAAAAACUCAAGCAAAGAGUAUCUCAAUAAAUGAUCCAAUAGUUUUACUCUUUUUGAUUAUGAUCGU
rnacentral:lncRNA from 1 species